rnacentral:rRNA from 1 species
ACUCCUACGGGAGGCAGCAGUGGGGAAUUUUGGACAAUGGGCGAAAGCCUGAUCCAGCAAUGCCGCGUGCAGGAUGAAGGCCUUCGGGUUGUAAACUGCUUUUGUACGGAACGAAAAAGCUCCUUCUAAUACAGGGGGCCCAUGACGGUACCGUAAGAAUAAGCACCGGCUAACUACGUGCCAGCAGCCGCGGUAAUACGUAGGGUGCGAGCGUUAAUCGGAAUUACUGGGCGUAAAGCGUGCGCAGGCGGUUAUGUAAGACAGAUGUGAAAUCCCCGGGCUCAACCUGGGAACUGCAUUUGUGACUGCAUGCUAGAGUACGGUAGAGGGGGAUGGAAUUCCGCGUGUAGCAGUGAAAUGCGUAGAUAUGCGGAGGAACACCGAUGGCGAAGGCAAUCCCCUGGACCUGUACUGACGCUCAUGCACGAAAGCGUGGGGAGCAAACAGGAUUAGAAACCCCUGUAGUCCC